GUGAGAAGGUGCUGCCAGCAAUAGACAAUAUACAAACAGAAUACAGACAAAAGUCCACAUAGACGUCAUACAAAAAAACACAAAUCGUAAGUCGCUGUGGAUAAAAGCAUCUGCUAAAUGACUAAAUGUAAACGUAAAAAACAUUAAACAUAAACUCGGGUCCUCUGUCCUGCUCUGUCCUGCUCAGUCACAGCGGAUCAAACUGAAAUACAACACUGUAAUGUCCAGUAGNNNNNNNNNNUACUUUUUAUAAGGAUUUACUUUCUACAAGAAACCUUGAGAGGAACCAGACUCAACACCCAAAGCAUGGCUGGCUGGAUAGAGUAUCUGAGCAGGGUCCCCACCAGCGUAAUCUAUUGAGGGAGCUACUGAGGGACUAUAACCGUAUGGAGA
rnacentral:lncRNA from 13 species